rnacentral:tRNA from 4 species
GCCGAAGUAGCUCAGUUGGUAGAGCGGCAGUAUCGUAAACUGCAGGCCACCGGUUCGAUCCCGGUCUUCGGCU